GUGUUAGAAAAGUAUAAAGAGAAGCUUCGAUAGAAAAUUAUUUCAAGGUUAAAAUGAAUAACUCGUUGCAUCAAAUUAGUUUGAGGUGAAAGGAAGGAUAUGAUUCGUAGAACUGCUAAUUCUUCCUGAGAAUGGUAAAUGAACGGAAAGCGAUUUUUGCAGUUUGAACACGAUUUGAUACAUGAGAGCAAUACAGUAAUAUUGUAUAUACAGAUGGAGAUAAGAUUUGGUUGCGAUUUAAAUGGCAAUGAAAUAAAGAUCUAAUAAGAUAACCAUUAGUAAAUUCUUAGCGAACCAUGCUUUCCCACCUGCUAGUAGAAGAUGUUUGCAAUUCAGUAAACAAAGGUUAUGAAAGUCACCAGUAUAGCUAAAUUAACAAAGUUAGCUGAUCAAUAAUAUUGAAAUCUCAUUAAAUUACGAUGAUAAUCUGUCUCUUCAAUGAAAUAAAAACUUAACACUGUGUAGAUAUUACGACGGCAUGCAAAGAAACUGGAAACAGAGACAAGAUAUAGAGUUUACUAAAG